rnacentral:misc_RNA from 1 species
AACGCACCUUGCGCUCCUUGGUAUUCCGAGGAGCAUGCCUGUUUGAGUGUCAUUAAAUUCUCAACCAUCCCAUUUUCUUUCGAACUUGGGCUGUGUUGGAUGUGGGGAUCUGCCAGCGCUUAUUACUUAAGACUUGGCUUCCCUUAAAUGUAUUAGCUAGAGCGCUUCUGUUGACUAGCCGCUAGUGUGAUAAUAUCUACACUGUGACCAAGCCAGCCUUUGAAAUGAAGGAACUCUGCUUCAAAUCGUCUGCUUGCGGACAAUCUAUGACAACUUGACCUCAAAUCAGGUAGGACUACCCGCUGAACUUAA